rnacentral:rRNA from 1 species
GAUGAACGCUGGCGGCGUGCCUAAUACAUGCAAGUCGAGCGAACAGACGAGGAGCUUGCUCCUCUGACGUUAGCGGCGGACGGGUGAGUAACACGUGGAUAACCUACCUAUAAGACUGGGAUAACUUCGGGAAACCGGAGCUACUACCGGCUAAUAUAUUGAACCGCAUGGUUCAAUAGUGAAAGACGGUUUUGCUGUCACUUAUAGAUGGAUCCGCGCCGCAUUAGCUAGUUGGUAAGGUAACGGCUUACCAAGGCGACGAUGCGUAGCCGACCUGAGAGGGUGAUCGGCCACACUGGAACUGAGACACGGUCCAGACUCCUACGGGAGGCAGCAGUAGGGAAUCUUCCGCAAUGGGCGAAAGCCUGACGGAGCAACGCCGCGUGAGUGAUGAAGGUCUUCGGAUCGUAAAACUCUGUUAUUAGGGAAGAACAAAUGUGUAAGUAACUAUGCACGUCUUGACGGUACCUAAUCAGAAAGCCACGGCUAACUACGUG